GACGAACGCUGGCGGCGUGCUUAACACAUGCAAGUCGAACGGAAAGGCCCUGCGUUUGUGGGGUGCUCGAGUGGCGAACGGGUGAGUAACACGUGAGUAACCUGCCCUUGACUUUGGGAUAACUUCAGGAAACUGGGGCUAAUACCGGAUAGAAGCUCCUGCUGCAUGGUGGGGGUUGGAAAGUUUCGGCGGUUGGGGAUGGACUCGCGGCUUAUCAGCUUGUUGGUGGGGUAGUGGCUUACCAAGGCUUUGACGGGUAGCCGGCCUGGGAGGGUGACCGGCCACAAUGGGACUGAGAGACGGCCCAGACUCCUACGGGAGGCAGCAGUGGGGAACAUUGCACAGUGGGCGGAAGCCUGAUGCAGCAACGCCGCGUGCGGGAUGACGGCCUUCUGGUUGUAAACCGCUUUCGCAGGUGACGAGGCGUGAGUGACGGUAAUGGGUAAAGAAGCACCGGCUAACUACGUG
rnacentral:rRNA from 1 species